AUGCGCAUUGAACAGGGCGAAGGCGACAUGCAUACUCUUGGCGACGAAGGGAUGGGCGACUCAUGCGAGACAGGCGGCACAGAUACAGUCCAUAAUGCCGUGUCCCAGGAUGCAGACGAAGAUGGUGUUGGAGUGUCAAGUGCAAAACAAUCUUCUUGGACCAGGAGGGUCAGAGUUCCAAAAGCGGCGGAUGAGAGAGAGCCCAUCCCAUCAAGGAUGCCUGCCCUUGAAGCUUCUAUCCGUGCAUUUGUCAACAAAAAGUCCAAAAAUGUUAUCAAUCCGUCUAUUGGAACUAGUUUCGAUUCAGUCGAAGAGGGCUACGAGUUUUACAAUCUUUAUUCAUGGGAGGUUGGUUUUGGUGUGCGCUAUGCAAAAAGCCGUUUGAAUGUACACCGGAAGAAGUGCAUGCAGGAGAUAGUUUGCGCUUGUGCGGGUAAACCGUUGCAAGCCAACAGCCGGUCAACGAGGUGUUGA
rnacentral:rRNA from 1 species